UACGAAGGGGGCUAGCGUUGUUCGGAUUUACUGGGCGUAAAGCGCACGUAGGCGGAUUGUUAAGUGAGAGGUGAAAUCCCAGAGCUCAACUCUGGAACUGCCUUUCAUACUGGCAAUCUAGAGUCCGGAAGAGGUAAGUGGAACUCCUAGUGUAGAGGUGGAAUUCGUAGAUAUUAGGAAGAACACCAGUGGCGAAGGCGGCUCACUGGUCCGGUACUGACGCUGAGGUGCGAAAGCGUGGGGAGCAAACAGG
rnacentral:rRNA from 1 species